UGAUGACGAUGACGAUGACGAUGACGAUAACUAUGAUGAUGAUGAUGAUGAUGAUCUCUCAAACAAUAGUUUACAUCAUCAUCAUCAUCGUUAUCGUCACCGUUAUCAUCAUCA
rnacentral:pre_miRNA from 1 species